GAUUAAAUGGCUGAAGUAUAGGUAGUAAAUUGUAAAUUUAUUUAUAAGAAUUUUUUUUCUUUUUAAUCA
rnacentral:tRNA from 1 species